UACGAAGGGGGCGAGCGUUGUUCGGAAUCACUGGGCGUAAAGCGCACGCAGGCGGCUCGAUAAGUCGGGGGUGAAAGCCCGGGGCUCAACCUCGGAAUUGCCUUCGAUACUGUCGGUCUCGAGUCCGGGAGAGGUGAGUGGAAUUCCUAGUGUAGAGGUGAAAUUCGUAGAUAUUAGGAAGAACACCAGUGGCGAAGGCGGCUCACUGGCCCGGUACUGACGAUCAGGUGCGAAAGCGUGGGGAGCAAACAGG
rnacentral:rRNA from 1 species